rnacentral:rRNA from 1 species
CGGCGGACGGGUGAGUAACGCGUGGGUAACCUGCCUCAUACAGGGGGAUAACAGUUGGAAACGGCUGCUAAUACCGCAUAAGCGCACAGUACCGCAUGGUACGGUGUGAAAAACUCCGGUGGUAUGAGAUGGACCCGCGUCUGAUUAGGUAGUUGGUGGGGUAACGGCCUACCAAGCCGACGAUCAGUAGCCGACCUGAGAGGGUGACCGGCCACAUUGGGACUGAGACACGGCCCAG